ACUGGGAGGGGCCAGUCGAUACUGUUGGACUAGAGGGCAGCAGGAGGAGGUGGAAUUCCCGGUGGAGUGGUGAAAUGUGUAGAUAUCGGGAGGAACACCAGUGGCGAAAGCGGCCUCUUAGGCUGUUUCUAACGCUGAGGCCCGAAAGCGUGGGUAGCAAACAGGAUCAGAUACCCUGGUAGUCCACGCCGUAAACGAUGGACACUAGGUAUAGGGAGUAUCGACCCUCUCUGUGCCGAAGCUAACGCAUUAAGUGUCCCGCCUGGGGAGUACGGCCGCAAGGCUAAAACUCAAAGGAAUUGACGGGGGCCCGCACAAGCAGCGGAGCGUGUGGUUUAAUUCGAUGCAACGCGAAGAACCUUACCAAGGCUUGACAUGGCGGGAGUAGCGACCUGAAAGGGAAGCCACCUGUUGAGUCAG
rnacentral:rRNA from 1 species